rnacentral:rRNA from 1 species
UUGACCUCAAAUCAGGCAGGACUACCCGCUGAACUUAAGCAUAU